rnacentral:antisense_RNA from 1 species
UGAAAAUGGUGUAUUUAACGCAUUUAAAUACAACAACACAUACAUUUUUAGAAAAAAAAAAUGGAAAUCUUAGAUUCUUCUCAUCCUUUUUGAUGAUGAUAUUAGUAACAGAAUUAUUAUAUCUUCAGGCGUGGAGUAAAUCUAAUAUUCAUUAAGCAAUAAUAGCUGGAGAAGAAUAUGCCGUUGGACGUUUUAAUGCACUAGCGAAGUAAGCAAAAUCAUCUGGUGAAAUAUUUCGGAUUUCCUCAGAUGUACAUAAUUUGAAUACGUUUGCUUUAAUGCAUGAACAUUUAUCUUGGUCUAAUAUUGAAGUUGCAAGCCAGGAUUGGAAAGAUAAUCUUUUACAAUCUUCAUCGCAAAGCUCAUUAUUUGCAACAGGAAUAUUCUGUGGUAAAAACCAUCCCUUUCUUAAUGCAGAAUUGUACAAAUUCUCCAUUCUCAUAGAACUUUCUUCAUUUAAUGAAAAUGUGACAGGAUAUGCUGCUUGAGAAAUAAAAUCUACAACAAAUCCUAAUCCUCUAUCAUUAACUCUAUCCAAAUCUUGUGGGCAAUUCUUUUGAUGUGGUCCACCACGUAUAAUAUUUUUGGCUUGUUCUACAAGUAAAAACAUCAUACAAGAGUACUCUGGUGGUAAUCCUUCAUGUGGAUCCAAUAAUUUAUCAACAGAUUCUUCAUUUCCAGAUAAAAUAACCAUCAUUGCGUUGGAUGAACGUAUUGUAUCUAAAAUAGUAUUUUGGGUUGCAUCUACCAAUCCAUCUUGAUCAUUAUCUAAGACACUUGCUAAUAAUUCUGUUAAAUAUGAUAAUUUAUCGUCAGGUACUCUAUAAUCACCAAGUAUAUGAAUUCCAAAAGCAGAAGUAAACUUUGUUAAUCCUGCUCUUGUGAAUCCUGAUUCUGGGAUUGUAGAUGGUUUUAUGUAAACUUUGUCAUCUCUUGGUUGAGAUGCAAAAACUUCUGAAGGGAAUACUGCGUUUUCACAAUUAGGUUCAUUUUGUAGUGAUUUCAUUGAUAAUAAUUCUUCUGAAGUUGAUUGAUUGUUUGAUUUCAAUGUAUGUGUAGCCUUAGUAGUUGAUGUUGUAAUCAUUGAAUCUGGAUGACCAUGCUCUCCUGGAUUUCUUACAUUCAAUGUGGGUGCUCCUCUAACCACUAAAAUGAUUAUUGAAAUCAUAUAUAAUACGUUUUGACAGAACUUCAUUUUGACCACAAAAUUCCGGCAAUUGUUAAUUUUAAUCUUCCCUGUAUUAAACUAGUAACAAAACAAACUUCUCUUGCUUUGAUUGCUAUUUCCUGUUGAAAUAGAUUUGAAACUUUUGAAAUUUAUUAUAUUAC